UCAAACUUAUGCCACUCCUGGUGGCCCUCUCCAAAUGGUCCAUCGAGGUACAGCUGCAGGGAGCAGAGUGGGUGUGAGUUAAGCUCUCAGCUACCAUCACAGUUCUGAAGUCAGAAGUGAGAGGCAAGAAAAAGCAGGCUCACCAGCUUGUCCCCGCCGUAGAUUAGUGCAGGGACCAGGAAGAAGAUGUGGAAACGGGGCAGCUGGAUCAGAGCGAAGCUGCCAUGGAUGAUGAGCUGAAUAGAGCGAAGAACACAACUCAGGCCCGGCCACACCCACAACGGGAUCUGAGGCUGGCUCCGGGCUUAGGCCCCUGUAUCUUUCCUCCUGGCAUGUCCACGCCUCACCUCAUUGUGCCCUGCUCCUUCCAGGUUCCAAAACCCAACCAUUCCCAACCCCAGGUUCCAAAACACAACCAUUCCCAAAGCAUCCUUGAUGAAUAAGACUAUUUGCAUCUUUCCAUGCUAGACCAAGCCAUGCCAACUCUCCCCUGCACCCAUGCUGUAGCCUCCUAACUGGUUUUCCCCAUGUGAUCGAUUCUCUUCAAGGCAGCGAGUGUGACUUUAUGAAGUUAAUUUUAUCAUGUCACCCCCAGCUUUAAAAGCCUUAGCGGCCUUCCCAUUGCCUGGUGAUGCUCUGACCCCUGCCUGCCAAACAUGGCAAGUCCUUUCUGCUCCAA